CUCAUCAGAUUGUCCCACCAGUGUAAAUUAAACAGGUAGGAUGAUUUGACAGUGCAAAAUACCUCAUCAGAUUGUGCUACCAGUGCAAAAUAAACAGGUAGGAUGAUUUGACAGUGCAAAAUA